GGGUUGUGAGGUUAAGCGACUAAGCGUACACGGUGGAUGCCCUGGCAGUCAGAGGCGAUGAAGGGCGUGCUAAUCUGCGAUAAGCGCCGGUAAGGUGAUAUGAACCGUUAUAACCGGCGAUACCCGAAUGGGGAAACCCAGUGUGAUUCGUCACACUAUCAUUAACUGAAUCCAUAGGUUAAUGAGGCGAACCGGGGGAACUGAAACAUCUAAGUACCCCGAGGAAAAGAAAUCAACCGAGAUUCCCCCAGUAGCGGCGAGCGAACGGGGAGGAGCCCAGAGCCUGAAUCAGCAUGUGUGUUAGUGGAAGCGUCUGGAAAGGCGCGCGAUACAGGGUGACAGCCCCGUACACAAAAGCGCAUGUGCUGUGAGCUCGAUGAGUAGGGCGGGACACGUGGUAUCCUGUCUGAAUAUGGGGGGACCAUCCUCCAAGGCUAAAUACUCCUGACUGACCGAUAGUGAACCAGUACCGUGAGGGAAAGGCGAAAAAGAACCCCGGCGAGGGGAGUGAAAAAGAACCUGAAACCGUGUACGUACAAGCAGUGGGAGCCCCACCACUAAGCCAGUGGUGAACUCCACAUCCGCAUCCUUUGCUGAGGAUACGGUUAACGGAGCGAAAGCGACGUUCAACCGCAAAACAAGCAGAGGGGGCUUAGUGGUGGGGUGACUGCGUACCUUUUGUAUAAUGGGUCAGCGACUUAUAUUCUGUAGCAAGGUUAACCGAAUAGGGGAGCCGGAGGGAAACCGAGUCUUAAUUGGGCGUUAAGUUGCAGGGUAUAGACCCGAAACCCGGUGAUCUAGCCAUGGGCAGGUUGAAGGUUGGGUAACACUAACUGGAGGACCGAACCGACUAAUGUUGAAAAAUUAGCGGAUGACCUGUGGCUGGGGGUGAAAGGCCAAUCAAACCGGGAGAUAGCUGGUUCUCCCCGAAAGCUAUUUAGGUAGCGCCUCGUGAAUUCAUCUCCGGGGGUAGAGCACUGUUUCGGCUAGGGGGCCAUCCCGGCUUACCAACCCGAUGCAAACUGCGAAUACCGGAGAAUGUUAUCACGGGAGACACACGGCGGGUGCUAACGUCCGUCGUGAAGAGGGAAACAACCCAGACCGCCAGCUAAGGUCCCAAAGUCAUGGUUAAGUGGGAAACGAUGUGGGAAGGCCCAGACAGCCAGGAUGUUGGCUUAGAAGCAGCCAUCAUUUAAAGAAAGCGUAAUAGCUCACUGGUCGAGUCGGCCUGCGCGGAAGAUGUAACGGGGCUAAACCAUGCACCGAAGCUGCGGCAGCGAACGUAUCACUUAAAGCGAUUCAGCGGGUUACGAUUGACGGAGCGAAGCGACGUCAAAGCGUAUACAAAGUCGAGUCGGUUUAAGGAUACGUUCGUUGGGUAGGGGAGCGUUCUGUAAGCCCGUGAAGGUGGCCUGUGAGGGUUGCUGGAGGUAUCAGAAGUGCGAAUGCUGACAUAAGUAACGAUAAAGCGGGUGAAAAGCCCGCUCGCCGGAAGACCAAGGGUUCCUGUCCAACGUUAAUCGGGGCAGGGUGAGUCGACCCCUAAGGCGAGGCCGAAAGGCGUAGUCGAUGGGAAACGGGUUAAUAUUCCCGUACUUGGUGUUACUGCGAAGGGGGGACGGAGAAGGCUAUGUUGGCCGGGCGACGGUUGUCCCGGUUUAAGCGUGUAGGUGUGUGUUCCAGGUAAAUCCGGUUCACUUUAACACUGAGGCGUGACGACGAGGCACUACGGUGCUGAAGCAACAAAUGCCCUGCUUCCAGGAAAAGCCUCUAAGCAUCAGGUAACACGAAAUCGUACCCCAAACCGACACAGGUGGUCAGGUAGAGAAUACCAAGGCGCUUGAGAGAACUCGGGUGAAGGAACUAGGCAAAAUGGUGCCGUAACUUCGGGAGAAGGCACGCUGACACGUAGGUGAAGUGAUUUACUCAUGGAGCUGAAGUCAGUCGAAGAUACCAGCUGGCUGCAACUGUUUAUUAAAAACACAGCACUGUGCAAACACGAAAGUGGACGUAUACGGUGUGACGCCUGCCCGGUGCCGGAAGGUUAAUUGAUGGGGUCAGCGCAAGCGAAGCUCCUGAUCGAAGCCCCGGUAAACGGCGGCCGUAACUAUAACGGUCCUAAGGUAGCGAAAUUCCUUGUCGGGUAAGUUCCGACCUGCACGAAUGGCGUAAUGAUGGCCAGGCUGUCUCCACCCGAGACUCAGUGAAAUUGAACUCGCUGUGAAGAUGCAGUGUACCCGCGGCAAGACGGAAAGACCCCGUGAACCUUUACUAUAGCUUGACACUGAACAUUGAGCCUUGAUGUGUAGGAUAGGUGGGAGGCUUUGAAGUGUGGACGCCAGUCUGCAUGGAGCCGACCUUGAAAUACCACCCUUUAAUGUUUGAUGUUCUAACGUGGACCCGUAAUCCGGGUUGCGGACAGUGUCUGGUGGGUAGUUUGACUGGGGCGGUCUCCUCCUAAAGAGUAACGGAGGAGCACGAAGGUUGGCUAAUCCUGGUCGGACAUCAGGAGGUUAGUGCAAUGGCAUAAGCCAGCUUGACUGCGAGCGUGACGGCGCGAGCAGGUGCGAAAGCAGGUCAUAGUGAUCCGGUGGUUCUGAAUGGAAGGGCCAUCGCUCAACGGAUAAAAGGUACUCCGGGGAUAACAGGCUGAUACCGCCCAAGAGUUCAUAUCGACGGCGGUGUUUGGCACCUCGAUGUCGGCUCAUCACAUCCUGGGGCUGAAGUAGGUCCCAAGGGUAUGGCUGUUCGCCAUUUAAAGUGGUACGCGAGCUGGGUUUAGAACGUCGUGAGACAGUUCGGUCCCUAUCUGCCGUGGGCGCUGGAGAACUGAGGGGGGCUGCUCCUAGUACGAGAGGACCGGAGUGGACGCAUCACUGGUGUUCGGGUUGUCAUGCCAAUGGCACUGCCCGGUAGCUAAAUGCGGAAGAGAUAAGUGCUGAAAGCAU
rnacentral:rRNA from 1 species